rnacentral:rRNA from 1 species
AGCAGUAGCCACGGGAAUACGAAGGGGGCUAGCGUUGCUCGGAAUUACUGGGCGUAAAGGGAGCGUAGGCGGACAUUUAAGUCAGGGGUGAAAUCCCAGAGCUCAACUCUGGAACUGCCUUUGAUACUGGGUGUCUUGAGUGUGAUAGAGGUAUGUGGAACUCCGAGUGUAGAGGUGAAAUUCGUAGAUAUUCGGAAGAACACCAGUGGCGAAGGCGACAUACUGGAUCAUUACUGACGCUGAGGCUCGAGAGCGUGGGGAGCAAACAGGAUUAGAUACCCCUGUAGUCCCUGUCUCUUAUAC